rnacentral:rRNA from 1 species
UACGUAGGGGGCAAGCGUUAUCCGGAUUUACUGGGUGUAAAGGGAGCGUAGACGGCAGAACAAGUCUGAAGUGAAAGCCCGCGGCCCAACUGCGGGACUGCUUUGGAAACUGCCCGGCUAGAGUGCUGGAGAGGUAAGCGGAAUUCCUAGUGUAGCGGUGAAAUGCGUAGAUAUUAGGAGGAACACCAGUGGCGAAGGCGGCUUACUGGACAGUAACUGACGUUGAGGCUCGAAAGCGUGGGGAGCAAACAGG